GCUUAAUACAUGCAAGUCGAGCGAAUGGAUUAAGAGCUUGCUCUUAUGAAGUUAGCGGCGGACGGGUGAGUAACACGUGGGUAACCUGCCCAUAAGACUGGGAUAACUCCGGGAAACCGGGGCUAAUACCGGAUAACAUUUUGAACUGCAUGGUUCGAAAUUGAAAGGCGGCUUCGGCUGUCACUUAUGGAUGGACCCGCGUCGCAUUAGCUAGUUGGUGAGGUAACGGCUCACCAAGGCAACGAUGCGUAGCCGACCUGAGAGGGUGAUCGGCCACACUGGGACUGAGACACGGCCCAGACUCCUACGGGAGGCAGCAGUAGGGAAUCUUCCGCAAUGGACGAAAGUCUGACGGAGCAACGCCGCGUGAGUGAUGAAGGCUUUCGGGUCGUAAAACUCUGUUGUUAGGGAAGAACAAGUGCUAGUUGAAUAAGCUGGCACCUUGACGGUACCUAACCAGAAAGCCACGGCUAACUACGUGCCAGCAGCCGCGGUAAUACGUAGGUGGCAAGCGUUAUCCGGAAUUAUUGGGCGUAAAGCGCGCGCAGGUGGUUUCUUAAGUCUGAUGUGAAAGCCCACGGCUCAACCGUGGAGGGUCAUUGGAAACUGGGAGACUUGAGUGCAGAAGAGGAAAGUGGAAUUCCAUGUGUAGCGGUGAAAUGCGUAGAGAUAUGGAGGAACACCAGUGGCGAAGGCGACUUUCUGGUCUGUAACUGACACUGAGGCGCGAAAGCGUGGGGAGCAAACAGGAUUAGAUACC
rnacentral:rRNA from 1 species